UGCAAGAAAAGGCAAACUAAACGAAAGCUUAGGACGCAAAGCCACAGGUCUAAGGUCGAGUGACUAUGACAGCUGGGUUGCCUCA
rnacentral:ncRNA from 1 species